AUUGAACGCUGGCGGCAUGCUUUACACAUGCAAGUCGAACGGUAACAGGCCUUCGGGUGCUGACGAGUGGCGAACGGGUGAGUAAUGCAUCGGAACGUGCCCAGAGGUGGGGGAUAACGCAGCGAAAGCUGUGCUAAUACCGCAUGUGAUCUGAGGAUGAAAGCGGGGGACCAGGCAGCAAUGUUUGGCCUCGCGCCUUUGGAGCGGCCGAUGUCAGAUUAGGUAGUUGGUGGGGUAAAGGCCUACCAAGCCGACGAUCUGUAGCUGGUCUGAGAGGACGACCGGCCACACUGGGACUGAGACACGGCCCAGACUCCUACGGGAGGCAGCAGUGGGGAAUUUUGGACAAUGGGCGCAAGCCUGAUCCAGCAAUGCCGCGUGCGGGAAGAAGGCCUUCGGGUUGUAAACCGCUUUUGUGCGGAACGAAAAGGCUCUGGCUAAUACCUGGGGCUGAUGACGGUACCGUAAGAAUAAGCACCGGCUAACUACGUG
rnacentral:rRNA from 1 species